UACGGAAGGUCCGGGCGUUAUCCGGAUUUACUGGGUGUAAAGGGAGCGUAGACGGUGAUGCAAGUCAGAAGUGAAAGCCCGGGGCUCAACUCCGGGACUGCUUUUGAAACUGUACAGCUUGAUUGCAGGAGAGGCAAGCGGAAUUCCUAGUGUAGCGGUGAAAUGCGUAGAUAUAUGGAAGAACACCAGUGGCGAAGGCGGCCGCCUGGCCUGUUACUGACGCUGAGGCACGAAAGCGUGGGGAGCAAAUAGG
rnacentral:rRNA from 1 species